CGCUUAUGGAGAAAGACGGAGGGAUUAGACCCUGCGAUGUCUUAGCAACCUGUACUUACAAGGUGCUACAUUCUACUCGGCAGCCAAACGGCCCCGGGAAAGAUAAGCG
rnacentral:ncRNA from 2 species